rnacentral:rRNA from 1 species
UCUGGUGAUGACGGCGUAGAGGUAACACUCCUUUCCAUUCCGAACAGGACAGUUAAGGUCUACAGCGCUGAUAGUACUGCACGGGAGACUGUGUGGGAGGAUAAGACGUUGCCAGGU